rnacentral:rRNA from 1 species
UACAGAGGGGGCAAGCGUUGUUCGGAAUUACUGGGCGUAAAGGGCGCGUAGGCGGGAUGGCAAGUCGGUCGUGAAAUCCCUCGGCUCAACCGAGGAACGUCGAUCGAUACUGCUGUUCUUGAGGAUUGCAGAGGAGACUGGAAUUCCCGGUGUAGCGGUGAAAUGUGUAGAGAUCGGGAGGAACACCGAUGGCGAAGGCAGGUCUCUGGGCAUUAACUGACGCUGAGGAGCGAAAGCAUGGGGAGCGAACAGG